GUGCUCCGCUCAAAACAGAAGGUUGGCUGACUUCAGACGAAGUUUUAUUUCAAAUGAAAUACGCUCCUAUGAAUAAAGGAUUUGACUGGUCAGAAAAUAUUGAGAAUUCACUUGGACCGGCUGAUAGGAAAAGGUCAUUGAAGGUCAAGGUUUUGGAUAAGCUGCGAGAGCAACCCAUUCCUAUUCGAGAGAAACUCAAACUUUCCAGGUAUUUGCGACAAAACCUGGAUUCCACAUCAUUGGUGUUUACUCAGGGUGUAAAACAACGAAAGAUACACAGACAUAAGCUGGACCUCAGCCUUGACUUGUGGGGGAAAAGUAUCAACCAUAUUUCAGCAUACCACGGCAGCAACGUGGCCUCCUACUUCAAAUUCCUCAGACUUCUCGUCUACCUCAACAUCUUCCUCUCCGUCGUCGUGCUGGCCUUCGUCAACCUACCACAGAUACUGCCUGGUGAUGAUGGUCUUCCUGAGCAUGUUGUCGGUUUCUUCGGCGAGUUAUCAACCAGUGUUCUGUUCUAUGGGGCGUACAGCAACAAUACAUGGGGCACCUACGAACGCCCACUAGCUUACUUCCUCACCUGGUCGCUGGUCCAUGUUCUGUGCUUUGUGGUUAUCGUAACAAGCAUGUUUAUUCAGUAUCGACGAAGUAAGCACGACAACACAGACAGCGACUUGUUCUACUCGUGGCGCCUCCUGUCGUCAUGGGACUACAACAUCACCAGCCGUGACGGCGUCAAAGACAGACGGACCGCGCUCAAGACCGGUAUCAAGGAAAUGGUUCGAGAUGAACGUAGUCACAAGAAAAGAGGAUGGUGUCACAAAUUGCUACUAUUUGUAGUUCGGCUUGUGGUGAAUGUCAUCAUCCUAGCUCUCUACGGUGGAAGCGGUUAUCUCAUCUAUCUUGUAGCUUACGCCACGUCAGUACCAGUGGAAGUUCCAGAAUUUCUGGAUGACUUUCUUUCAAAAUACGAGCUGCCUUUAUUGGUGUCUGGUCUCAAAUUAGUGGUCCCGAAAAUAUUCAGCAUCUUAAUCAGGGCGGAACGCUGGCACCCACGCACCAUGAUCAAGCUUACCAUAGGCAGAACCACCCUUUUCUACAUAGCCAGCCUGGUUGUCUUUAUUUCUUCUCUGUAUAACGUUACUACUGCCUGUAUUGGUGAAACUGCAAAUUCUACCAUUAGUCAAAUAAAUGGAUCCGAGUUUUGCUGUUGGGAAAACGAGGUUGGCGAGCAAGUCUUUAAAGUGUUGUUAAUAGAUCUAGGCAUCAGCCUCUUGGUGGGCCUGGCAUUUGACGUCACCAGCGCCAUUUUAGCCAAAUGCAGAAUGCUUUUCAAGUUUGGAUAUCAAGAAUUUGAUGUACCUUCCGGUGUCCUUGACCUUAUUUAUGGCCAGGCGCUGAUUUGGUUGGGUCUUUACUUCUCGCCGUUUCUCGCGCUAAUUGGAGUUCUGAAACUGAUCGUGUUGUUCUACUUCCGCUACGUCAUUGCUCGGACGUGUAACGUCCCGCCCGCCAAGGUGUUCCGGGCCUCUAGAUCCGGGAACUUCUACAUGUUUGUUUUACUGGUCAACUUGUUCGUCUGCGUCUUCCCAAUGGCGUAUGCUGUCGUGGAAAUGCAGCCAUCGCAGGAUUGCGGACCUUUCAGGGGAUUGUUACGAGCCUACUACGUGAUCACAUCUCGUGUUGGAGGAGUUCCCGAUUGGCUGGAAAGCACACUGUUGUAUAUUAGCACACCAGUCAUUAUGAUACCCGUAAUAAUUCUCUUACUGUUGAUAAUAUUUUACUACGUGGCAAAAUAUGGAUCUUAUAAAGCUUUGACAAAAUCCUUGAGGAACCAGUUAAGAUUUGAAAGACGCGUUGAGAAAAGAAAAGUAUUUGCCAGAGCAAGAGCAGUGCAUAGUGGGUAACCGUAAUUCAGCACAUCACAUGGAAUAUCCAGCACUCCCAGCUCCCAUUCUGCACAAUUCUUCCCAACAUGUAAUCAUGUCCUAAUGGUGACCAAAGCGACACGAUGCACCAGCGGGAAGCGUAAGACGAUGAGAAAAUGGCAUACACACAGAUGUUUAACACCAGUCUAAUAUGGUGAUUGACUCUUACUGUACCGCAACCAUCUCGACGAGUCGAUGACGGAAACAUUUUUCUUCUUUUUUCUUAUUAACGACACCACUAGAGCAUAUUAAUAUAUUAAUCAUCGGCUAAUGGAAAUUACACAUUUGGUAAUUUUUAGAGAAAAAAAAUUUCCAUUACGG
rnacentral:misc_RNA from 1 species